GAUGAACGCUGGCGGCGUGCCUAAUACAUGCAAGUCGAGCGAACGGACGAGAAGCUUGCUUCUCUGAUGUUAGCGGCGGACGGGUGAGUAACACGUGGAUAACCUACCUAUAAGACUGGGAUAACUUCGGGAAACCGGAGCUAAUACCGGAUAAUAUUUUGAACCGCAUGGUUCAAAAGUGAAAGACGGUCUUGCUGUCACUUAUAGAUGGAUCCGCGCUGCAUUAGCUAGUUGGUAAGGUAACGGCUUACCAAGGCAACGAUGCAUAGCCGACCUGAGAGGGUGAUCGGCCACACUGGAACUGAGACACGGUCCAGACUCCUACGGGAGGCAGCAGUAGGGAAUCUUCCGCAAUGGGCGAAAGCCUGACGGAGCAACGCCGCGUGAGUGAUGAAGGUCUUCGGAUCGUAAAACUCUGUUAUCAGGGAAGAACAUAUGUGUAAGUAACUGUGCACAUCUUGACGGUACCUAAUCAGAAAGCCACGGCUAACUACGUGCCAGCAGCCGCGGUAAUACGUAGGUGGCAAGCGUUAUCCGGAAUUAUUGGGCGUAAAGCGCGCGUAGGCGGUUUUUUAAGUCUGAUGUGAAAGCCCACGGCUCAACCGUGGAGGGUCAUUGGAAACUGGAAAACUUGAGUGCAGAAGAGGAAAGUGGAAUUCCAUGUGUAGCGGUGAAAUGCGCAGAGAUAUGGAGGAACACCAGUGGCGAAGGCGACUUUCUGGUCUGUAACUGACGCUGAUGUGCGAAAGCGUGGGGAUCAAACAGGAUUAGAUACCCUGGUAGUCCACGCCGUAAACGAUGAGUGCUAAGUGUUAGGGGGUUUCCGCCCCUUAGUGCUGCAGCUAACGCAUUAAGCACUCCGCCUGGGGAGUACGACCGCAAGGUUGAAACUCAAAGGAAUUGACGGGGACCCGCACAAGCGGUGGAGCAUGUGGUUUAAUUCGAAGCAACGCGAAGAACCUUACCAAAUCUUGACAUCCUUUGACAACUCUAGAGAUAGAGCUUUCCCCUUCGGGGGACAAAGUGACAGGUGGUGCAUGGUUGUCGUCAGCUCGUGUCGUGAGAUGUUGGGUUAAGUCCCGCAACGAGCGCAACCCUUAAGCUUAGUUGCCAUCAUUAAGUUGGGCACUCUAAGUUGGCUGCCGGUGACAAACCGGAGGAAGGUGGGGAUGACGUCAAAUCAUCAUGCCCCUUAUGAUUUGGGCUACACACGUGCUACAAUGGACAAUACAAAGGGCAGCGAAACCGCGAGGUCAAGCAAAUCCCAUAAAGUUGUUCUCAGUUCGGAUUGUAGUCUGCAACUCGACUACAUGAAGCUGGAAUCGCUAGUAAUCGUAGAUCAGCAUGCUACGGUGAAUACGUUCCCGGAUCU
rnacentral:rRNA from 1 species